CAGCUGCGUGGCGAGCACAGAGCGAACUAUUCUUUCGCCUUUUACUAAAGAAUACCGUGUCUGUCUCAAAAAAAAUGUUUCUUGCCAAACAAAAAACUUGACUCUUUUUGAAUUUUGUUACUUUUUUUUUGAAU
rnacentral:snRNA from 1 species